rnacentral:tRNA from 1 species
GGAGAGAUGGCCGAGUGGUUUAAGGCGCAGCACUGGAAAUGCUGAUUCUCAUGAAAAUGGGAACUAGGGUUCAAAUCCCUAUCUCUCCG